UAAUAAUUAAGAUGGCCACAUUUAAGCAAGCUUUUCUCUUCAUUGCUCUCUUUGUUGCAAUUUUAGUUAAUCUCUCUUGGGCUCCAAAUAAGAUGCAAGUGAUGGCACUACGAGACUUACCGGUUAAUGUUGUGGAGAUGAAAGGAAAAUUACUUGGACUUGGUGAUAUUACUACUUGUGGGAUGAAUUGCAGGGACCGUAAUGAUUGCAAAGAAGGCUUUAUGUGUUCAAAUUGUGUUAAAGUUGGGUCCUUAUUUGCUCAAUGCAUAUAACAUAAGGAAACUAUUAAUUGUUUGAUAUAUCUUCGUGUUUAUUCAAGCAUUUUAAAUAAUGUUGUGUUUGCAAAGUUUGUGCAAAGAUAAUAAAUAUGUAACCUUAUAAGUUUCCUAUUUA